rnacentral:tRNA from 1 species
CGGGGCGUAGCGCAGCGGUAGCGCACUUGGUUUGGGACCAAGGGGUCGGGGGUUCGAAUCCCCCCGCUCCGACCA